CCAAAGGCUCUUUUAAGAGCCACCCACAUUGUCCUUGAAAGAGCUU
rfam:Patagioenas fasciata monilis isolate BTP2013 Sc31e1R_53, whole genome shotgun sequence.